rnacentral:rRNA from 1 species
GACGGGAGCGCGACUGACGCUAAAGCUCGAAAGUGCGGGUAUCGAACAGGAUUAGAUACCCUGGUAGUCCGCACGGUAAACGAUGGAUGCCCGCUAUUCGCUCGAAUGAGUGAGUGGCCAAGCGAAAGCAUUAAGCAUCCCACCUGGGGAGUACGCCGGCAACGGUGAAACUCAAAGGAAUUGACGGGGGCCCGCACAAGCGGAGGAACAUGUGGUUUAAUUCGAUGAUACGCGAGGAACCUUACCCGGGCUUGAAUUGCAGAUGAACGAUCCAGAGAUGGUGAGGCCCUUCGGGGCAUCUGUGAAGGUGCUGCAUGGUUGUCGUCAGCUCGUGCCGUGAGGUGUCGGCUUAAGUGCCAUAACGAGCGCAACCCCUGUUCUUAGUUGCCAUCAGGUAAUGCUGGGCACUCUGGGAAUACUGCCACCGUAAGGUGUGAGGAAGGUGGGGAUGACGUCAAAUCAGCACGGCCCUUACGUCCGGGGCUACACACGUGUUACAAUGGCCGGUACAGAGAGUUGGUCGUGCGCAAGUACGGUCUAAUCCAUAAAACCGGUCUCAGUUCGGACUGGGGUCCGCAACCCGACCCCACGAAGCUGGAUC